AAUGUGAAAAAAAUUACAUGAUUCUAAUGAUUUCUUUAAUGAUUGACAAUAGGGGCAACCCCAAAGGCAAUACUGAAUCUGAUGGGCUCAGAUGGAUUGACCAUUUUACCACUAUAAAAAGUCAUCUACAGCUGCAGUUAUAACAGACAAGAGUAAUGAGCAGUUUUUUUACUGAACUUAGCAAAGUCGUGGUCCAUGAAAGAGGGCAUCUCAAGGCAAUUUGGGUUCUGUUCUAGUUAUGGAUUAUAAGAAAGCAGGAAGAUGGAAGCAGUCUAUUGCAUUGUCAAAGAAAGAUAAUCUUUCGGAGGAGUUGCUUGUAUAUUUCAUUGAGUAGGUAAUUUGGCUUCAUUUAUGUUGAUGCUUGAGCAUGGAAUGGAGUUGGAUAAUGCUAAGAUAUUUUGAAGUGUUGGGAUUAAGUGAUGGAGGAGUUUUGAGUUUGUAUGACAUGAUUUGGUAUUGGUUUCUAAAACUUGAAUGU